rnacentral:lncRNA from 1 species
GUUUUGAAAUGCAAAUGAACGAGCUUAAGCACAUAUUACACGUAGAAAUGGUGGAAAUUCGCUUUCCUGGGUCUUGGAAUAGUUCCUCCUUGCUUUGGAGAAUGAAGUUCAAUAUAUGAAUUAUCCAUAGAGACCAGUAGGCCUAUUGCAAAUCCCUGCGGUGGAGUGCUAGGAGCCAGAGGUGCUGAAUUCUCCUGCAGUUCUAUAAAUGAACUAAGCCACACUUACUGACUCUGUUACUGAAAACCAGUUGCCUAAACAUUUUGUGUCUGUUUCAUUAUUUGUAAAGUGAGAAAUGUACUUACUGAACAGGGUCAUCACAGGAGACAAAGAUGAUUGUGAAAGAGCCUUGUAAAGGGUACAUCUGAACCCCAAAUUAUCAAUAAGUGCUCAUUGGCUGUGCCUCACAAGAGCUCAGAGAUCACUGAGUCUAGUUCAAUGCACUUAAAUUACGACAUGGAAAUGGAGGCACCAAGAGGUGAGUAUCCUAUCCAGAGUCACACAGCUCUACAGAGAUAUGGAAGCAAUAUCAUAAAAUUCAAUCAUGUCAUAUUUCAUUUCCAUGAAAAUAAACUAAAAAAAAACUUGGAAGAUGAGAACUUUGGAUAAUUUGAGUCUGAAGUACUUCAUACUACUUUAAGUUACCUCCUAUUGGGGGCAUUAUAAAUGGGUAAGCAGAGA